GACGAACGCUGGCGGCGUGCCUAAUACAUGCAAGUAGGACGCACAGCCUAUACCGUAGCUUGCUACACCAUAGGCUGUGAGUUGCGAACGGGUGAGUAACGCGUAGGUAACCUGCCUAUUAGAGGGGGAUAACUAUUGGAAACGAUAGCUAAUACCGCAUAACAGUAUGUAACACAUGUUAGAUGCUUGAAAGAUGCAAUUGCAUCGCUAGUAGAUGGACCUGCGUUGUAUUAGCUAGUAGGUAGGGUAAUGGCCUACCUAGGCAACGAUACAUAGCCGACCUGAGAGGGUGAUCGGCCACACUGGGACUGAGACACGGCCCAGACUCCUACGGGAGGCAGCAGUAGGGAAUCUUCGGCAAUGGGGGGAACCCUGACCGAGCAACGCCGCGUGAGUGAAGAAGGUUUUCGGAUCGUAAAGCUCUGUUGUUAAGGAAGAACGAGUGUGAGAAUGGAAAGUUCAUACUGUGACGGUACUAAACCAGAGAGG
rnacentral:rRNA from 1 species